rnacentral:misc_RNA from 1 species
UGUGAUCCAUCCAAUAUCUGACUGAGCA